rnacentral:rRNA from 1 species
AUUGAACGCUGGCGGCAGGCCUAACACAUGCAAGUCGAACGAGUGGCGGACGGGUGAGUAAUGUCGGGGAAACUGCCCGAUGGAGGGGGAAAACCAUUGGAAACGGUAUCGAACCCCGCAAACCAUCGGAUGUGCCCAGAGGGGAUUAGCUAGUAGGUGGGGUAACGGCUCACCUAGGCGACGACCCCUAGCUGGUCUGAGAGGAUGACCAGCCACACUGGAACUGAGACACGGUCCAGACUCCUACGGGAGGCAGCAGUGGGGAAUAUUGCACAAUGGGCGCAAGCCUGAUGCAGCCAUGCCGCGUGUAUGAAGAAGGCCUUCGGGUUGUAAAGUACUUUCAGCGAGGAGGCGUUACUCGCAGAAGAAGCACCGGCUAACUCCGUGCCAGCAGCCGCGGUAAUUC